rnacentral:rRNA from 1 species
AGGGCGCACGGAGGAUGCCUAGACAACAAGAGCCGAAGAAGGACGUGAUAAGCUGCGAAAAGCUAGGACGAGUUGCACAUUAGCGUUGACUCCUAGAUAUCCGAAUGGGAAAACCUAUAUACUUGAAGAGUAUAUACGAAAGAGGUAAGUGGGCGAACUGAAACAUCUAAGUAGCCUGAGGAAAAUAAAGUAAAAACGAUUCUCUAAGUAGCGGCGAGCGAACGGGGAAGAGCCUAAACCAUGGUAGUGUUAAAGUUGGCACGUUGCUAUUAUGGGGUAGAGGGAUAGUUGAUUGACGGAUAGCCAUGAAGUCGACAAAUUAAAUGACGUAAGAGGAACACAACUGGAAAGUUGGACCGAAGAAGGUGAUAGUCCUGUAGAUUGUAAAAUCAUUUAAAUGUUUUAACUAAUCCCGAGUAGUAUCGGACACGAGGAAUCCGGUGUGAAUCAGCGAGGACCAUAUCUCGUAAGGCUAAAUACUCUUGUUGAUCGAUAGAGAAUAGUACCGUGAGGGAAAGGUGAAAAGAACCCUGAGUAAGGGAGUGAAAUAGAACCUGAAACCGUGUGCUUACAAACGGUAGGAGCCCUUCGGGGUGACUGCGUGGAUUUUGGUUAAUCAUCCUGCGAGUUAUGAUGUGUGGCAAGGUUAAGUAAACGGAGCCGAAGGGAAACCGAGUCUUAAUAGGGCGAUAAGUCGCAUGUCAUAGACGCGAAACCUAGUGAUCUAGGCCUGUCCAGGUUGAAGCUGGGGUAAGACCCAGUGGAGGACCGAACUCACCACCGUUGAAAAGUUGGGAGAUGAGAUAGGUUUAGGGGUGAAAAGCCAAUCGAACUAGGAGAUAGCUCGUUCUCUCCGAAAUGCAUUUAGGUGCAGCCUUAAUAAAGAUAUAUGGGGGUAGAGCUCUGUAUGGCCUAGGGGGCGUAUAGCUUACCGAAGUCAAGCAAACUGCGAAUACCAUAUAUUAAUUAUUAGGAGUGAGUCCAUGGAUGACAAGGUCCAUGGACGAGAGGGAAACAGCCCAGACCAUCAGCUAAGGUCCCAAAUUAUGUCUAAGUGGGGAAGGAGGUGGAUACUCACAAACAACCAGGAGGUUGGCUUAGAAGCAGCCAUACCUUUAAAGAGUGCGUAAUAGCUCACUGGUCGAGAGUAUCUGCGCCGAAGAUUUAACGGGGCUAAGACAUAAACCGAAGCUAUGGAAACUAGAUUUAUAUCUAGUUUGGUAGGAGAGCGUUCUGUAAGCCGUAGAAGGUGUACUGUAAGGUAUAUUGGAGGUAUCAGAAGUGAGAAUGCAGGAAUGAGUAGCGAGAAAGAGAGUGAGAAUCUCUCUGGCCGAAAGUCCAAGGUUUCCAGAGGAAGGUUUGUCCGCUCUGGGGGAGUCGGGACCUAAGUCGAGGCUUAAAAGCGUAGGCGAAUGGAAAAUAGGUUAAUAUUCCUAUACCACUAUAUAAACGUUAUUAGAGAUGGAGUGACGCAGGAAGGUAUGUGAGAAGGGCGACGGUUGUCCCUUUCUAAGGAAGUAGUGUGAACAUGGAGGCAAAUCCACAUGUUUAAACAUGAGAUCUUAUGGGUAAGUAGCUUAGGCUAUAAGUCACAAAUCCUAUACUGCCGAGAAAAACUUCUAUUGAGAUUAUGUAGUGCCCGUACUGUAAACCGACACAGGUGGACUGGGUGAGUAACCCGAGGCCGACAGGAUAACUCUAGCUAAGGAACUCUGCAAAAUGGCCCCGUAACUUCGGGAGAAGGGGUACCUAUGUUAUGUGAUAAGAUAAACACUUUGAGCAGAAAUAGGUCGCAGUGAAGAGUCCCAAGCAACUGUUUACCAAAAACACAGGUCUAUGCUAAGCUGAAAGGCGACGUAUAUGGGCUGACACCUGCCCAGUGCUGGAAGGUUAAGAGGAGGAUUGAGAGAUUCGAAUUGAAGCCCCAGUGAACGGCGGCCGUAACUAUAACGGUCCUAAGGUAGCGAAAUUCCUUGUCGGGUAAGUUCCGACCUGCACGAAUGGUGAAAUGAUUUGGGAGCUGUCUUGGCUGGAGACCUGGUGAAGUUGUAAUGUCGGUGAAGAUACCGAUUACCUGCAGUAGGACGGAAAGACCCCGUGGAGCUUUACUGUAGCUUGGCAUUGGGUUUUGGCAAUGUGUGUAUAGGAUAGUUGGGAGACUAUGAUACUAGGGCGCAAGUUUUAGUGGAGUCAAUGGUGGAAUACCAACCAUAUAUUGUCGGAAUUCUAAUCAUUGGUUUGUAGCCAAUGAGACAGUGCUAGGUGGGCAGUUUGACUGGGGCGGUCGCCUCCUAAAGAGUAACGGAGGCGUUCAAAGGUUCGCUCAGCUUGAACGGAAAUCAAGCAAAAGAGUGCAAACGCAGAAGCGAGCCUAACUGCGAGACUGACGGGUCGAGCAGUAACGAAAGUUGGAGUUAGUGAUCCGGCGGUAUGUGAGUGGAAAUGCCGUCGCUCAACGGAUAAAAGCUACCCUGGGGAUAACAGGCUGAUCUCCCCCAAGAGUCCACAUCGACGGGGAGGUUUGGCACCUCGAUGUCGGCUCGUCUCAUCCUGGGGCUGAAGUAGGUCCCAAGGGUUGGGCUGUUCGCCCAUUAAAGAGGCACGCGAGCUGGGUUCAGAACGUCGUGAGACAGUUCGGUCCCUAUCCACUGCAGGCGUUAGAAUAUUGAGAAGAUCUGUCCUUAGUACGAGAGGACCGGGAUGGACAAACCUCUGAUGUACCAGUUGUCACGCCAGUGGCAUCGCUGGGUAGUCACGUUUGGAAUGGAUAAUCGCUGAAAGCAUCUAAGUGAGAAGCCAACUUCAAGAUGAGUAUUCUUUUUAAGUCUCCUUCGAGACCAGGAGGUUGAUAGGCUGGGGGUGUAAGUGCAGCAAUGUAUUUAGCUGACCAGUACUAAUAUGACGUUAGCUUUUUAA